rnacentral:tRNA from 1 species
ACUUUUUUAUUAUAAAAAUUAUAUUUGACUUCCAAUCAAAAGAUCUUGAAAACAAGAAAAAGUA